rnacentral:lncRNA from 1 species
ACGCUUUAGCUCGUGCUGUUGCAGAUGAAAUGCAGAAAAUUUACCAACAUGAGUUGGGGCCUCAGCCCAUCCCUUUAGUUGUCCCUGGUGAAGCUAUUGAUGAAGAAUAUGUUCGUACCUCAUCCCGAACUGGUUACCUGAAGUUGAAAUGAAUAUUACCCCUCCAUAUUCACGUGCUUUCACUUACUUGCUUAUGAAGUUUUCAUGCAUUUCCCUCUUAUAUGCAUCAGAAAUAUUUUCUCGAGGCAGAUGCGGAUGAUGGAACUGAUGAGGAUGAUGAUGAACAAAGUGAAAAUCAGGCUGAUGAUGCAGAUGUGGAUGCAGAAAAAAGGUGAGCGUCUUUUCUUUUACUUGGUUUCUUUGAAUAAUCCAUUAUGUUUGUUUCCUUUUCUGCAAGGAUAAUUGGACAAGUAGCUUUGCUUUGUAAAAUUAUGGGUUCUGGUGUCUGGUGUGGUGUCCAUAUUGAGCAUCUAUCUUUUGGUGUUAGUGGAGUCAUUUUUCAGAGUUAAAUUGAUCCAUAUGAUAUUAAUUUUCUCAAUUUAAAUUGUCAAAGAAAGGUGAAUAUCACUAAUUGUGAUGGAAACUAUGCAGCUCUCAGAAAACCAAAAGGGUAACUCGGGUAGAGUUUAACCGGAGAGCUAGACGAAAGGAACAGUUGAGAAUUGAAGCAGAAGCCAAAAAAGUGAAGGGACUUUCAAAAGACAUAGACAGGUAAAAGAGAUCAUUUCUGCUAAUAUAUCUCCAAUCCAAGAUAGUUGUGCUUUACUCAAAAAGCACUAAAUUGGUUCUCUGCUGCAAAUAGUUUACCGGAAAUAAUGCAAGAAAUUGCGAAAGAGGAUGAAGAGAAACAUAAGAGACAUCUUCGGCGGAUUGUUGCUAAACAAGAAAGAUUGAAAGCUCGUCCAUCUCGCUUGGGAAAGUACAAGUAUGGCGUUAUAUAAGCAUUUUUAUGACGUUUUAUCUUCUAUGCAUGUGAAGUUCUGUUGAAAUAGGAAGCAACCACAACUACAUAGAUGAAAUGUUCUUGAUUAUUUUUACCUAUACUAAGGCAUUGAUCAUAUCCUUAUCUCUUAUCUUGCAUAUAUAUUUAUCAUAAGUUNGUUCGGAAUUAUAUGAUACUCACAAUUCAAUUAUGAUUUUUCAAACUCCAUAUAAAAUUAUGGUCAAAAAGCAAAAUAAAAAAAUUGAACAAAAUUAAUAAAUCUUGUAACAACAAAUGGAACAAAUCAAUCCUCCAUCAUACCUAUGUCAAAUUUAUAUGUAUUUCUACUCUUUUUUUUUUCUUACGCGUCAACUUUUUAUAAAAAUUUCAUAUGAAAACUAAUGGGUAUUUUUAUGAUCUCAACAAAAUUAAUAAUUUAAUUGCUAAAAGUUGUUGAGAUUAAUAUAAUUUAAAAUGUAUUACUUAAUUUAAUUUAAUUAAUUAUAUAAAUAAUUUACAUAAAAAAUUAUUUUAUAUAAUUAUCAUAAGAAUAACAUAAAAUAUAUAAAUUACAAAAAAAUAUGUACCCGUCGAAACUUCGACGGGUAAUACACUAGUACUCGUGUAAUACUAACUGGAAAACCUCAUUCACCAUAGAAAAAAAGUAAAUUUCAUAGACCCAACGUAAAAGGAAAGUCAUCUUCAGUUAAUCGGUCAUCUCAUAUGUAUCAAAAUAUUUUUUUUUUCACCAUUUAUUUGAUAUUGUGAAAAGGGGGUAUGCUUAUGAAUUAAGUAAUACAAUAAAUUCUAGUAUCGAAAUUUUAAUUUUCAAACGCGGAGUAUAAUUUUAUGAAGACAAAAAUAACAAUUUUACUAAGCAUAAGAAAUAAUUACUAUAUUUUUCUAACCCAAAACAAGUGUAUGGCCCAAGCCCAAUACUUUAUGGGUUAGAAACCCUUUUCAAAAGCGGCAUUUCUAUCUUCGCAGCGUCUUCUUCUAUAUGCAUUUUGCGUCCGCCUCUUUCGGUCGCCGUCGCCAGCCUCGCUUCGCCUAGGAAUCUCUGCAGAAGCAGCCUGUGCCCCACCUCGUCUCAGUGCGCCGCUUCACGCUCCAGCAUUUCCCGUCGUCAGGCCUCCUCCAACCUCGGCGCAGAACCAGCAUCAACGCCACCCCCCAGCCAAACAGCCGGGCCAACAGCAGGUAAAUCACCUCUUUCUUCAAAUUAGACACCUCCGUUGCAAAUUAGAUCACAUUUCUCAUAUAUAUAGAGAUAUAUGGAUUUCAAACUUGUGGAGUUAGGAAUUACUUUUACUUCUUGGUGUUCAACCAGAUCAACCGGGGCACGGCUAUCACCUCUUUCUUAAUUAGACACUCCGUUAUUACUGAUAAAAAUAUAGAGAUAUAUGGAUGAGUCUUUUCUGCCAUUAGCCAUCUUAUUAAUUUGGAUUAGUGCCGCAGGCUUCUCUAUUUCGUGAGAGGAGGAGGCAAGAGAGAAGAUAUAUAGGGUUUUGGAUAACAUCUGCAGACUUUGAGAGAAGGAAGAGAAGAGAAAGGCCUGCAGCAGCACCCGCUGCAAAUUUCCUCUAUUUCGCGAGUGAGAGAGAUAGAGGGAAAAGUCAUGGGUAAGAGAGCCAAGAGUUCAAGGAAGGGAAAGAAAGAAUGGAGGGCUAACAUAAGCACUGAAGAUAUAGAAGAUUAUUUUGAGAAAUCCACAAAAGACGCUCUUUCCGGUGGUUCUUUGGCUGAUGUGCCCAGUGAUUCUCUUUUCUUCGUUGAUAAAUCCAGAGGUAUAAGAAUCUUAAAAUUUUUAGAGGGUUGUGUUUAAUUGUACAUAUGAUACAGAAAAAUUCGAUGAUAUUCAAUUGAUUUUUUGAUAGGGUUUUAGAAAUUUAGUGAGAAAUUGAUACUUCUAGGUUAUAUCACCGUUGAGAACUUUUAGUAUUCUUUUUUGGACGAAAGCAGCUCUAUGAAGUUAUGUACUGUUUCUUAAAGAAGACUAUGUUGGGACUGAAAGUUCUAAUCUGUGAAGUUAUAUAUUGUUUCUAAAAGAAGAGUAUUUUAAGAGUGGAAGUUGUAAUCUCCAAUGAGAUUGGUAGGAAGUCAUGAAUUGCUUUAAAAAAAGUUCUCAGACUGAUAUUGGAUCCUGUAAUUGAUAGUUAGAGCUUUUCCUAUCCGAAACUAGUUACUAUAUUCUUUUGUAUGGUGUGAUGGAGUUUUUCAUUUCUUGAAGGGGCCCAAUUCACUUGGGUUUUAUCUUAUUUCUUAACGAACUGUUUGGAUGUAUAAUAUGUAACUAGUGGCCAUGUUGCGAUCUUCUUGAGAAUCACGAUCAUUUUAACAAAAUGGAGAUUUUUAUUUGCAGAUCUUUCUAUUAAGCGGAAGAUUGAGAAAAACAGAGAGAAAGUAUUGCGAUGUGAUAGUCUGUUGCAGAGAAACCCUUUUAUUAAAGCUAUUCCGUCCUCUAUACAGAAUAAGAAAAAGUCCAAGAGAAAGGGUAAAGCUUUACCAACAGCAGCAGAUGAAAAUGUUGCACAGGGCAGCCUGAGGUUAGUUUUCUUGGGAAUUCUUUUAGAGUGAUUCUGCAAGUGAAUUAGUGAGGCUAAUUCUUAUAUUUCUAAUCCAAUCAUUUCAGGAUGAAAGUGCACAUGAUUCUGGAGUUCUUGAGUUGUGGGAAGAGAAAGGUAACUCUAUGUGUGUGUAUGCAUAUUAAUACAUCCAUAUAGGUUGCUAUUUCUAUCGGCUGUGGUUUGCAACUACCAUUUGUUAUUUCUAAUAGAAUUUGCUAUUUCACUUUUGCAGGAGAAGUCAAGGCCAAAAUAAAAAAGGUAUAACAUAAUUUGUUGUGCACUUUUGGUUUCUGCUUGUGUAACCAAUUAUAUUGUUCAAGGAAUCAUUAUUUGAUGAGUAUUGCAUGUUAGAGAUUCUGAUAGUUUCUUAGCUGUCUCUGUAUGCAUUAGAACUUCUUGAAGUUAGUACUGAGUAAUGUAGUUCACUAGAACAUGAGAUUCUUUUAGAAUCUAUGGGGUUUAUUUAACAGUUAAUCAUGACAGAAGCCCAAGUCUUGCGUUAUUCCUGCUGUUGAGGUUGAACAUCCUGGAAGUUCAUUCAAUCCUCACCCUGAGAGCCAUCAGGUUGGUGUCAAUCUUUUACCUAUGCAAUUUCAUCAUUUUUCUUUCUAUUAAUGGUUGAACCUUACACUCUGUUAUAAUAGGACGCUUUAGCUCGUGCUGUUGCAGAUGAAAUGCAGAAAAUUUACCUAACAUGACGUUGGGGCCUCAGCCCAUCCCUUUAGUUGUCCCUGGUGAAGCUAUUGAUGAAGAAUAUGUUCGUACCUCAUCCCGAACUGGUUACCUGAAGUUGAAAUGAAUAUUACCCCUCCAUAUUCACGUGCUUUCACUUACUUGCUUAUGAAGUUUUCAUGCAUUUCCCUCUUAUAUGCAUCAGAAAUAUUUUCUCGAGGCAGAUGCGGAUGAUGGAACUGAUGAGGAUGAUGAUGAAC